rnacentral:rRNA from 1 species
AUUGAACGCUGGCGGCAGGCCUAACACAUGCAAGUCGAGCGGAUGAAGGGAGCUUGCUCCUGGAUUCAGCGGCGGACGGGUGAGUAAUGCCUAGGAAUCUGCCUGGUAGUGGGGGAUAACGUCCGGAAACGGGCGCUAAUACCGCAUACGUCCUGAGGGAGAAAGUGGGGGAUCUUCGGACCUCACGCUAUCAGAUGAGCCUAGGUCGGAUUAGCUAGUUGGUGGGGUAAAGGCCUACCAAGGCGACGAUCCGUAACUGGUCUGAGAGGAUGAUCAGUCACACUGGAACUGAGACACGGUCCAGACUCCUACGGAAGGCAGCAGUGGGGAAUAUUGGACAAUGGGCGAAAGCCUGAUCCAGCCAUGCCGCGUGUGUGAAGAAGGUCUUCGGAUUGUAAAGCACUUUAAGUUGGGAGGAAGGGCAGUAAGUUAAUACCUUGCUGUUUUGACGUUACCAACAGAAUAAGCACCGGCUAACUUCGG